GAAACAGCUGUCAGGGAUGUUCUAGGUACAUUUGGUCCUAACUCAGUGCAGGGGGCUUAAUUAGAUGACCUCUUGAGGUCCCCGCCAGCCCUACAGUUCUCUGAUUCUGUGAAUGAGUAGAGGAAAUUAUGAGAUCCAUACUAGAAAUGGAGAAAUUUGAAGUGGCCAAAUGGGAACACACAAAUGAGCCUCCUUAGGUUGACAGAAGUCAGGAAAUACCCUGUCAAGAUGGAAGCCUAAGCUGUCUUCAAGAUUUCCAUCUGUUACAGCUGGAAUUCCUGGAGACUAGAAAGACACAUAAAAGGUUGCUUCAUCCUGGCCUUCCUUCCAUAAGGCAGAGUUUGAUUCAGAUUUCUGCACCAUUUUGAGGUUGGUUUUUUUCCUUGCUUUUCUUGUUCUUUCCCUUCUCAGAAGUAUAGCAGGAGUGCAAUUGAGGAGGAAGAGGUAGAGAAAACUUUCUUUUCUGGCAAUUUCUUUAAGGAAAUAACCUCAGUGACAUUCCUUUUGGGUAAGAGUUAUGCUUGAGAGUCUAAGAGGGAGAUACUGCCCACUUCCUGGGGUAACUGCUGCUCUAUAAGCAUCCUAAUCUAUCUGCUCAGGGGGGUAGUGUCCUCAGCAAGACAAACUCUAGCCCAUGAAGAGAAGUCCAAUAGGGAUAUAACCAGCUGGGUGCUAUCUAAGGGCAAUGCUUAAGCCUGAGCCAGCUCAGAGGGAAUAAUUUGCCACCUCAAAAAGUCUUGCUGAAUGAAGAAAUCACUGUUGACCCCAUCUGGGGAAUCCCCAGGCCAGGAGACAACUGAGUAAACCACUGGGAUCCAGGACUGGGGUGUCCAAUUGUCAGUUCGGAAGGGAAGGAAGCAGAUGGAAAGGGAAUUGAAUCUCACUUGCUUCAUGUCUCCAGUGCCCCUCAGCUGCUCUCUGACCUCUAGGGGCCAAGGGAUUGGAUACAGUGACUUCUAGACUCUUUGCUGCAUCCAUGGUCUUUGAAGCAGGUCCAAGCACUCAUGGGUUUUUUUCCAACUGCCCUGCCGGUGGUAAACUUCUGUUCUGCCCUCAGGAGGGAGAGGAAGAAACUGGGUACUCGCCAACAGAUGGAGCUGGUACCAAAGUUUACGCAUACUGGGUUGCUGGAGUUAGAGAUGGGGUUGCAGGCACAGAAGUGGGGCUGAGAAGGUGCUGGACGACUGAAUAUGCAAAGCACCCUGCCUAAUCACUGAAUUACAGGGGACUAGCACAAUGAACAAGUCUUUGCCUUACACUUUGCCUUCUCUUCACAGCCUACACUCCAUGGAGAGGCUUCCAGAAAGGUGUAAGCACAGCUGCAGACACAGGAAGAGAAAGAGAACAAAUUAAAAAUUCUUCUGGGAUAAGACAUCCAGAGGAGCAAGAACUUUCCCACUGGGAAUAAUCGUUAGGCCUCAGUUCUCUGAAGCCAUGCAGGUCAAAAGAUGAUCAGAUUUGAAAAGGGUCAUUUGAAAUAGAAAAAUUUUUGUUGUUUUGUCUGGCUCUGAUGCAAGAGCAUCUCAUUCACCUAAAAAGGCAAAACUAGACUGACAAGCUUUUUAUAGGACAGUCUCUUCCUUCCAGUUGUGGUUCUGCCCUUUAGAUGCAUGGAAGCUGAAGACCUAUUAUGAACAUCUGAGGCCCUUGCUGCAAUGGAGAAUGUGACAUAUUCACAUGUGAAUAAGGCCUGGUGCAUAAUUCUGAGUCUAUCUGGUAGAGUAUGUAUAUACAGGAAGGAGGGCACUUACCCACUUAAGGUCCAAUUCAGCUUUAUUUCAUACACACAUUGCAUCACAAAAAAAACCAUUAACAUUUUAUGAUAUAAGUCCUAAUGUUAAAUUUCCCCCCUUCCCCAUACUAAAAAUUCACUUGGCCUAUACCAAAGGAAACAAGAAACCCAAAGCCCUACGUUUAAGAAAUAAGGUCCAUGUAAAACAGCAUCUACAUUUAUUUCAGUCUCUAAUCCCUUCUCUUGUCUUCUCCACAGUCUCCAACUACCCUUCAAGUACCUAUGAUUGGACAUCCUGGAACUGAAGGGAGUAGUUCUCUUUUCAAAUACUAGAGUACUGCUCUCCCUCAUAAAGAAAAGGAGUACUUGUGGCACCUUAGAGACUAACAAAUUUAUUUGAGCAUCCGAUGAAACUAACACGGCUGCUACUCUGAAAGCUCUCCCUCAUGAAAUUCUAAUUACAAGCAAACCACAGAAUCCUAGAAAACACUAGGACAGAAUGUGAAAAAAGCUACAGUCUUCUCUGCUUCAGAGAAACAAAACAGGCUGGUAUUGAAAACAAGAGGAAGUGAUCUAGCCAAACAAAAGCAGCUCUGAAAGUAAGGAGAUACCAACUAGGCACCAUUGGAAAUUGGUGCACAGCUGUGAUAUGAUAGAACAAGCCCAACAAAACUAAUUAGAUUGUGACUUUGGACAAACAGUGCCCUCAACCCAUCACAGCUUUCAGACCUACAAAUGUCAUCAAUUGGUAUAAAGUUAUCCAACCCCUUCCUAAAUCUUGCCAUGGUACAUCGCAAUGACUUCCUUCAGCAGUGAAUUCACAAUAUUGAUUUCAGGCUACAAUAUUUAUAUACCCUUUACAAGACAAGAAACCAGCCCUGAGCAAGUUACAGGACUUGAUUCAGCAAAGCACUUAAACAUGUGACUUCAGUGGCACUUAAACACAUGUUUAAAGUGCUUUGCUGAAUCAAGGCUUAAUUCAGCAUAGUUUUCUUAUUGUCGACACACAAACUCCUGCUUAUACAGAGAAUAUCUAAGCAGGGCCACAUGCAUUUCACAACUCUGUAGAAUCUGCACCGGCAACUGCAACAGAAUCCACCCCUUGCUGCUGAAUUGUGCUCAAGAAUCUAAGCUUUUCCUUUUAAGAAAAGCUGUCUUCUAGUCCUUAUGGUUGUGAAGAUACCCUGGGAGACAUGAACAGAGUGUAGCCAAUGCUGUGUUGUCUUCUUGAGCCUCCGGUCAGUCAGAAACAAUUCCUCUGAGAGUUGUGGAUUGCUCCAUUUAUAUCAAUAAAUUAUUUAUUCUUUAAAUUGUUUUAUUUAGGUUUUAGUGUCAACAUGGUCAACUAUAACAUUGCUCAUCCAUAUAGCUGAAGUGCUCAACCCACAAUCCCAAACUGCCUCCUUUGCCUGUCCAUCUGUCAAAAGCCCCAAGUGUCGCCACCUAGCUGCCAAAAUCUUCAGCUUCCUCCCUAACAGCUUCUAUGAGGGAAAUAUACAUUGAUCUUAUAUGACAGUGUACUGAAAAUGCAGACAUAAGAGAAUGGAAUUUAGUAACACAACAAAAAACAUUCCACUACUGUCUUUAUUGCUUUAUUCAUUUUUGUACUGAAAUCAUUUAAAAUUGCCAUUUUAAUUUACAUGAAUCUGCUACAGAAUUUCCAGUCUCUCCCACUGUAGUAUCACAUAAUCAACAGACCUUGAUGCAGAAUAUAGAGUAAGCUUUCUGUACAAUCCACAAGGCCAGGUUUAUAAGUAAAGGGCACAGUCUACUAUAGGUAUCAUUCUUCCCUUUCUGAAAUGCACAGUUUCACACAACUUAAUGGGGAAUGUCUAAUACUCUGCUGUAUACUUUGUGUGUCGCUGUACACUAAUGUACUGUAUGGUUUCAAUAAGUGAUAGAAUAAUUAUUUCAUGUCUCUCUUGUAGUAUACACAUUCAGCACUCCUACACUAUACUUUUUCUAAUGCCUUUUACUCAAAGAGUUUCGUACAGUACAUACACAGGAAUCAUUUCCCCCGCUACUUAAAUAGUUACCUCUGUGGGAGAAUGUGGCAGCUAUUUAAACAUACAGCAGCACUACACAACAUGGUAGCGAUAAGAUCCCUUUUAGCUUUUGUUUUAAUUGAUGUUGCUGGGGAAAAUUAGACUGUAAUUACCUAUGCUGGUAUUUUGCCCAUGACAACUGAGGUUAACAUCCUACCCUUACAAAAAAUGUAUGGGAUUAAUGACCACAAGUCAUCAUGACCUUUGUCAUACAUCUCAUCCAAAACACAACAUUUCCAACAUUAUAGAGCCCCCUAGAGCCAUGAUGGGGUAAUAGUUCAGUACUGAGAGAAAAGCACUAUCUACUGAAUCACCAACAUUUCUUCCUGCAACACCUGAGUUUUCCUUAGAGGAUUCCCAUCCAAUUACUGACCAAGCUUGAUCCAGCUUAGAUGAGGAGAUGUGAGAUCAAAACCUAAGGUGAUAUAGAUGCAAGCACAUUUUAAUAACUCAUAGUUCAAUGUGGAGUUUAUUAAACUCAGUGUUUGUCAAAUCGCUUAUAGAGCCAUAGAGGUUUAAUAAUCUGCUAUUGGGCACGUUCACUAACUUUGCCCACAGACACACAGAAGGGUUGAGACGAUAUACUGUAUUUGUUGCACGUCACGAAUGAUCUGACAAGUCAAGCUUUCACUGAUAGAUUGUAAUGGCACCAAAAUAAUUACUACCAUUGUGUAACUUAAAAUAAAUGUUUGAUGAAGUGCUAGAUGUGCAGUAAUCACCCAUGUACAAGUGCUACAUGUGUAGUUGUUCCUGUAAAUGCAAAACAAUGACUGCACAGAACAA